UUCUCCUACGGGACGCAGCAGUGAGGAAUAUUGGUCAAUGGCCGUAAGGCUGAACCAGCCAAGUCGCGUGAAGGAAGAAGGAUCUAUGGUUUGUAAACUCCUUUUAUAGGGGAAUAAAGGUAUCCACGUGUGGAUAUUUGCAUGUACCCUAUGAAUAAGCAUCGGCUAACUCCGUGCCAGCAGCCGCGGUAAUACGGAGGAGGCGAGCGUUAUCCGGAUUUAUUGGUUUUAAAGGGUGCGUAGGUUGUUUUU
rnacentral:rRNA from 1 species